GGGUUGUGAGGUUAAGCGACUAAGCGUACACGGUGGAUGCCCUGGCAGUCAGAGGCGAUGAAGGGCGUGCUAAUCUGCGAUAAGCGCCGGUAAGGUGAUAUGAACCGUUAUAACCGGCGAUACCCGAAUGGGGAAACCCAGUGUGAUUCGUCACACUAUCAUUAACUGAAUCCAUAGGUUAAUGAGGCGAACCGGGGGAACUGAAACAUCUAAGUACCCCGAGGAAAAGAAAUCAACCGAGAUUCCCCCAGUAGCGGCGAGCGAACGGGGAGGAGCCCAGAGCCUGAAUCAGCAUGUGUGUUAGUGGAAGCGUCUGGAAAGACGCGCGAUACAGGGUGACAGCCCCGUACACAAAAGCGCAUGUGCUGUGAGCUCGAUGAGUAGGGCGGGACACGUGGUAUCCUGUCUGAAUAUGGGGGGACCAUCCUCCAAGGCUAAAUACUCCUGACUGACCGAUAGUGAACCAGUACCGUGAGGGAAAGGCGAAAAGAACCCCGGCGAGGGGAGUGAAAAAGAACCUGAAACCGUGUACGUACAAGCAGUGGGAGCACAGGUUUACCUG
rnacentral:rRNA from 2 species